CGUAGGGUGCGAGCGUUGUCCGGAAUUAUUGGGCGUAAAGAGCUUGUAGGCGGUUUGUCGCGUCUGCUGUGAAAAUCCGGGGCUCAACCCCGGACUUGCAGUGGGUACGGGCAGACUAGAGUGUGGUAGGGGAGACUGGAAGUUCCUGGUGUAGCGGUGGAAUGCGACAGAUAUCAGGAGGAACACCGAUGGCGAAGGCAGGUCUCUGGGCCACUACUGACGCUGAGAAGCGAAAGCAAUGGGGAGCGAACAGGAUU
rnacentral:rRNA from 1 species